rnacentral:tRNA from 1 species
GCCGAAGUGGCGGAAUUGGCAGACGCAGUAGACUCAAAAUCUACCGCCCUAAAAAGCGUGCCGGUUCGAGUCCGGCCUUCGGCACCA